CCUGGGAUUUGGGGUGGAUUAGAGGCAAAGCCUGGACACCUCAUUUAAUGAUGUAGGGCUGCUUUCCAGGCUGUGGUGCUAAAAGAAGCCCCUGCUGCUUUUACUUAAAGGAGAUUCCAGUGCAGCCAAGGUGGACGGCGGAUCAAGGCCUAAAGCAGCAAUCUGCUAAAUAUCUCAGUGACUGGGAAAACCCCAAAGGGCUACAUACCAUCCUUUGUACCUGCAGCCAUUAAUGACUUCCAGAGACCAGAGCUCAUGGAGGGACAACAAUAGCUGCAAGCAAAGACUUUAACUGAAAGGCAGAACUUUGAGAAAUUUCAAGGUUUGUGGACAGAUUGGUAAAGAUUUUCUGAAGAAACUCUGUGGAGGCCCUGAAACCAUGCCAUAUUGGACAAGCCCUUUACAGACCCCUCAGGAAGAGAUCUACUUUGCAUUCCCAAUAGGAAGAGGCCUACUUUACUGCCCCAACAGGAGGAAAAAGGGUUUUCUCCUUACCAGGCAAUAGCCCAGCCAAUGAGAGACCGUCACAUCUCAGCCAUUGAGAAGCCACUACACUUGGAUCUGCCAGUUUGCUCCAAUGGACUCUCGUUUAUAACAACCCCUUCCAACUGUCCCCUUUCCUUUAUAAAGAUCAGUCUUCUCUUUGUUCUCUGGACUCGCCUAUGAUUUGCCAUAGCUUGCCUGACCCAAAUUGUAAUUACUCUGCUAUUCCCAA